rnacentral:rRNA from 1 species
CCUACGGGAGACAGCAGUGAGGAAUAUUGGUCAAUGGACGAGAGUCUGAACCAGCCAAGUAGCGUGAAGGAUGACUGCCCUAUGGGUUGUAAACUUCUUUUAUAUGGGAAUAAAAUGUUCCACGUGUAGGGUUUUGUAUGUACCAUAUGAAUAAGGAUCGGCUAACUCCGUGCCAGCAGCCGCGGUAAUACGGAGGAUCCGAGCGUUAUCCGGAUUUAUUGGGUUUAAAGGGAGCGUAGGUGGAUUGUUAAGUCAGUUGUGAAAGUUUGCGGCUCAACCGUAACAUUGCAGUGGAAACUGGCAGUCUUGAGUACAGUAGAGGCGGGCGGAAUUCGUGGUGUAGCGGUGAAAUGCUUAGAUAUCACGAAGAACCCCGAUUGCGAAGGCAGUUCACUGGACUGCAACUGACACUGAGGCUCGAAAGCGCGGGUAUCAAACAGGAUUAGAUACCCUUGUAGUC